UACGUAGGGGGCUAGCGUUGUCCGGAAUCAUUGGGCGUAAAGAGCGUGUAGGCGGUCCGGUACGUCCGCUGUGAAAGUCGGGGGCUCAACCCUCGAAUGCCGGUGGAUACUGUCGGGCUAGAGUGCGGAAGAGGCGAGUGGAAUUCCUGGUGUAGCGGUGAAAUGCGCAGAGAUCAGGAGGAACACCAAUGGCGAAGGCAGCUCGCUGGGACGUUACUGACGCUGAGACGCGAAAGCGUGGGGAGCAAACAGG
rnacentral:rRNA from 1 species